rnacentral:rRNA from 1 species
UACGUAGGGGGCAAGCGUUGUCCGGAAUUAUUGGGCGUAAAGAGCGUGUAGGCGGCCAGAUAAGUCCGCUGUGAAAUCUCGAGGCUCAACUUCGAGCUGUCGGUGGAAACUAUCUGGCUAGAGUCCGGAAGAGGAGAAUGGAAUUCCUGGUGUAGCGGUGAAAUGCGCAGAUAUCAGGAAGAACACCCGUGGCGAAGGCGGUUCUCUGGGACGGUAUUGACGCUGAGACGCGAAAGCGUGGGGAGCGAACAGG